rnacentral:rRNA from 1 species
AAUAGAUACCCGGGUAGUCCACGCCGUAAACGAUGAGUGCUAAGUGUUAGGGGGUUUCCGCCCCUUAGUGCUGCAGCUAACGCAUUAAGCACUCCGCCUGGGGAGUACGGUCGCAAGACUGAAACUCAAAGGAAUUGACGGGGGCCCGCACAAGCGGUGGAGCAUGUGGUUUAAUUCGAAGCAACGCGAAGAACCUUACCAGGUCUUGACAUCCCGCUGACCGCUAUGGAGACAUAGCUUUCCCUUCGGGGACAGCGGUGACAGGUGGUGCAUGGUUGUCGUCAGCUCGUGUCGUGAGAUGUUGGGUUAAGUCCCGCAACGAGCGCAACCCUUGUCCUUAGUUGCCAUCAUUCAGUUGGGCACUCUAAGGAGACUGCCGUACAAAUACGGAGGAAGGUGGGGAUGACGUCAAAUCAUCAUGCCCCUUAUGACCUGGGCUACACACGUGCUACAAUGGACGGUACAAACGGUUGCGAAGUCGCGAGACGGAGCCAAUCCGAGAAAGCCGUUCUCAGUUCGGAUUGCAGG